GUCGACGAUGAAGCCUUUCGGGGUGGAUUAGUGGCGAACGGGUGAGUAACACGUGGGCAAUCUGCCCUUCACUCUGGGACAAGCCCUGGAAACGGGGUCUAAUACCGGAUAACACUCUGUCCCGCAUGGGACGGGGUUAAAAGCUCCGGCGGUGAAGGAUGAGCCCGCGGCCUAUCAGCUUGUUGGUGGGGUAAUGGCCUACCAAGGCGACGACGGGUAGCCGGCCUGAGAGGGCGACCGGCCACACUGGGACUGAGACACGGCCCAGACUCCUACGGGAGGCAGCAGUGGGGAAUAUUGCACAAUGGGCGAAAGCCUGAUGCAGCGACGCCGCGUGAGGGAUGACGGCCUUCGGGUUGUAAACCUCUUUCAGCAGGGAAGAAGCGAAAGUGACGGUACCUGCAGAAGAAGCGCCGGCUAACUACGUGCCAGCAGCCGCGGUAAUACGUAGGGCGCAAGCGUUGUCCGGAAUUAUUGGGCGUAAAGAGCUCGUAGGCGGCUUGUCACGUCGGAUGUGAAAGCCCGGGGCUUAACCCCGGGUCUGCAUUCGAUACGGGCUAGCUAGAGUGUGGUAGGGGAGAUCGGAAUUCCUGGUGUAGCGGUGAAAUGCGCAGAUAUCAGGAGGAACACCGGUGGCGAAGGCGGAUCUCUGGGCCAUUACUGACGCUGAGGAGCGAAAGCGUGGGGAGCGAACAGGAUUAGAUACCCUGGUAGUCCACGCCGUAAACGUUGGGAACUAGGUGUUGGCGACAUUCCACGUCGUCGUGCCGCAGCU
rnacentral:rRNA from 1 species